rnacentral:rRNA from 1 species
GAUGAACGCUGGCGGCGUGCCUAAUACAUGCAGGUCGAGCGCGAGCGUAAGGAGCUUGCUCCUUACAAUCGAGCGGCGGACGGGUGAGUAACACGUGGGCAACCUACCCUUUAGACUGGGAUAACUACCGGAAACGGUAGCUAAUACCGGAUAAGUUGGAUUACAUAAGUAAUCUUAAUGAAAGGCGGAUUUAUCUGUCACUAAAGGAUGGGCCUGCGGUGCAUUAGCUAGUUGGUGAGGUAGUGGCUCACCAAGGCAACGAUGCAUAGCCGACCUGAGAGGGGGAUCGGCCACACUGGGACUGCAACACGGCCCAGACUCCUACGGGAGGCAUCAGUAGGGAAUCUUCCGCAAUGGACGCAAGUCUGACGGAGCAACGCCGCGUGAGUGAAGAAGGGUUUCGGCUCGUAAAACUCUGUUGUUAAGGAAGAACACUUUAGGUAGUAACUGGCCUAGAGAUGACGGUACUUAACCAGAAAGCCACGGCUAACUACGUGCCAGCAGCCGCCGCCG